GCAUUAAUGGGGUAGUGGUAACCUGGGUCGUUGCCAUGUACAUUACGUGGAAUGCCUAUCGACCCGCCGGGGGUUCGAUUCCCCCUUAAUGCA